AAUAGAUGACGUCGUUGAUUUUUUCUCACAUGUUUGACCAUUCGUCUUAUUCAAAAAAUUUACAUAAUUAUAAUUUAUUUUAUUAUGAGUUGUUUUAUCACUCAUAGUACUUUAAGUGUGAUUUAUAUCUUAUAUAUUUACAUAAAUUUUUUGAAUAAGACGAAUGGUCAAAUAUGUGAGAAAAAGUUAACGGUGUCAUCUAUU
rnacentral:pre_miRNA from 1 species